CGCCAGACUGUUGAGAAGCCGUUUCUGGAGUGAGCUCGCGGGGCCGCGCCGUGGGGAGUGUCGCGGUGCAGGCCUGAGUGCGGGGGACACGGCGGGGUCUCGCGGGGACGUGAAACCACCCAGAGCGCAGGACUUAGUAAUGACCAAGACCUGCUCACCUGUGGAGCAGAACAAAGAAGCCUGGAAGGAGGAGAGGGAGGAAGCAGUAUCAAAGGAUCCAGAAUGAUUUUUGCUUUCUAUUUUGAUCCCUUGAUAUUAAAAAGCCACAAGCCAGCUAUUCAUUGUUCAUGAAGGAAAAAAAAUCAAAGAAGAGAAACAGCAGGAAAUGGAUAAUUCUCCAUUAAGCAUGUUCCAGGUCAGUGGUCAUGUCCUGUCUUUUCCUAAAUAUUUUAUAGUUUGAUUGCAAGCCUUUAAGUUUCUGAUUCUGAUUUUUUUUUUAAGUUGUGUUUUGAAAAUUGGAAACAAGCAAAAUCACACACUGCGACUAACCAGAUACAGAGACUAUAUAACUCAGUAUACUUUUAUGCAGUUUUAUAGUAGUCAUUGG
rnacentral:lncRNA from 1 species